UCCUGGCUCAGGAUGAACGCUGGCGGCGUGCCUAAUACAUGCAAGUCGAGCGAACUGACGAGGAGCUUGCUCCUUUGACGUUAGCGGCGGACGGGUGAGUAACACGUGGGUAACCUACCUAUAAGACUGGAAUAACUCCGGGAAACCGGGGCUAAUGCCGGAUAACAUGUUGAACCGCAUGGUUCAACAGUGAAAGACGGUCUUGCUGUCACUUAUAGAUGGACCCGCGCCGUAUUAGCUAGUUGGUAAGGUAACGGCUUACCAAGGCGACGAUACGUAGCCGACCUGAGAGGGUGAUCGGCCACACUGGAACUGAGACACGGUCCAGACUCCUACGGGAGGCAGCAGUAGGGAAUCUUCCGCAAUGGGCGAAAGCCUGACGGAGCAACGCCGCGUGAGUGAUGAAGGUCUUCGGAUCGUAAAGCUCUGUUGUUAGGGAAGAACAUAUGUGUAAGUAACUGUGCACAUCUUGACGGUACCUAACCAGAAAGCCACGGCUAACUACGUGCCAGCAGG
rnacentral:rRNA from 1 species